UCCUACGGGGGGCAGCAGUGAGGAAUAUUGGUCAAUGGUCGGGAGACUGAACCAGCCAAGCCGCGUGAGGGAUGAAGGUACAGAGUAUCGUAAACCUCUUUUGUCAGGGAACAAAGGCGGGGACGUGUCCCCGGAUGAGUGUACCUGAAGAGAAAGCAUCGGCUAACUCCGUGCCAGCAGCCGCGGUAAUACGGAGGAUGCGAGCGUUAUCCGGAUUUAUUGGGUUUAAAGGGUGCGCAGGCGGUCUGUUAAGUCAGCGGUCAAAGCCCGGGGCUCAACCCCGGCCCGCCGGUUAAACUGGCAGG
rnacentral:rRNA from 1 species